rnacentral:rRNA from 1 species
UUCGCAAUGCCCGAAAGGGUGACGAAGCGACGCCGCGUGUGGGAAGAAGGCCUUCGGGUUGUAAACCACUGUCGGGAGUUAAGAAGUGUAGUGAUGUUAAUAGCAUCGCUACUUGACUAAGGCUCCGGAGGAAGCCACGGCUAACUCUGUGCCAGCAGCCGCGGUAAUACAGAGGCGGCAAGCGUUGUUCGGAAUUAUUGGGCGUAAAGAGCACGUAGGCGGCCGUGUAAGUCGGUUGUGAAAGCCUUCCGCUCAACGGAAGGACGGCAUCCGAUACUGCAUGGCUCGAGUGCGGGAGGGGAGAGUGGAACUUCUGGUGGAGCGGUGAAAUGCGUAGAUAUCAGAAGGAACACCGGCGGCGAAGGCGACUCUCUGGCCCGUAACUGACGCUGAGUGUGCGAAAGCUAGGGGAGCAAACGGGAUUAGAUACCCCGGUAGUCCUAGCCGUAAACGAUGGGCACUAAGUAGAGGGGUUUU